rnacentral:snRNA from 1 species
GUGCUCGCUUCGGCAGCACAUAUACUAAAAUUGGAACGAUACAGAGAAGAUUAGCAUGGCCCCUGCGCAAAGGGUAUAUUUCAGUCAAAAAUAUAUAAAACCACAAAUAACAAAUUAUA